rnacentral:rRNA from 1 species
CAGUCGCCGCGGGAAUACGUAGGUGGCAAGCGUUGUCCAGAAUUAUUGGGCGUAAAGGGAGCGCAGGCGGACAUAUAAGUCCAUCUUAAAAGUGCGGGGCUCAACCCCGUGAGGGGAUGGAAACUGUAUGCCUUGAGUGCAGGAGAGGAAAGCGGAAUUCCCAGUGUAGCGGUGAAAUGCGUAGAUAUUGGGAGGAACACCAGUGGCAAAGGCGGCUUUCUGGACUGUAACUGACGCUGAGGCUCGAAAGCCAGGAGAGCGAACGGGAUUAGAUACCCCAGUAGUCCCUGUCUCUUAUACA